ensembl:lncRNA
CCCCAGAGCCCCCAGGGUGGGCAAACCCAGCGCCCCAGGUAGACCAUUUGGCUGUGGUGAGCCUCUCGGAGAGGGAAGCAGCCGGGGGCCCCUCGUGCUGUGACGGGGAAGCCCACGUCCCAGACCAUCUGUCAUCAGGUCGUUUUGCUUCACUGUGUUCCUGACAUGAAGCUCUAAAGCAAAGAGCUUCCCAAUGAGGAGAGAGAAGGUUCUCGAGUCCUGCACAUGUCUUUUCCAGUAGUCAUGAGAGCUGGACCAUAAAGAAAGCUGAGUGCCGAAGAAUUGAUGCUUUUGAACUGUGGUGUUGGAUAAGACUCUUGAAAGUCCCUUGGACUGCAAGGAAAUCCAACCAGUCCAUCCUAAAGGAGAUCAGUCUUGGGUAUUCAUUGGAAGAACUGAUGCUGAGGCUGAAACUCCAAUACUUUGGCCACCUGAUGUGAAGAACUAACUCAUCUAAGAAGACCUUGGUGCUGGGAAAGAUUGAAGGUGGGAAGAGAAGAAGACGACAGAGGAUGAGAUGGCUGGAUGGCAUCACCGACUCAAUGGACGGUCUUCCAAGAUGAAGAGGUGCCUCAUCUUGGAGGUGGCCCCAAGGCGUGAUGCACAAGAAAUGGGAUAGCCCAUGGCUGGGGGAGCUCCAGGAUCCUGAGCCAUCUGUUUGCCCUUCCUCAGGAAGAUGGGCAUCAUUCUGUAGCAGUUUGCUCAUAGGACUCAGAACGCAAAGAGGGCAAUGCCAGUGUCUGCUGCUUUCAUCUGUGGUGACACACCAGCCAACAGGAGACCACAGGGAAAGCAAUCAGACAUUCCCAUCUGCCAGGAACUCCACGAUGGGAAAGCAGCCACCACAGCGGUCAUUCCACAAAGGACCACCUGGUGGCACCAUUGUACAAC